GCACAAAGGAGGCAGCUCUGCUGCAAAUGCUUCAUCUAGACUGGAGAAUCCAGUCAGCAGGUGGACCCCCAUUUCUUGCUCUUGCUUCCUACAGACUCGAUGUUAAAUCCUGGCCCCGCACAUCCAGUGAGCCAGUAGAUUGCUGCUGGAUGUCAGUGCUGGUCCAGCAGUGGUUUUUCCAGAAUGCAGAGGUGGAGGGCAAGGCAGUCUCCUUCCCCAGUGGGAUGCAGGUGCCUCAUCUCUUUCCCCCCAGGCCUGCUCCAUUUCCCUGAAUAUGAGGCAUGAGCAGCCUAGGCUGAAUAUUGGAAAGUUUCAGCAGAAUUGAUGGUGUCUUGGUGGAGCAUAAUCAAGAUUAUUGGAGCAGGACAGGAGGUAAGUUCUAAGUUGCCAUCUGGGUGAUGAGAGGACUAAUCAUAGAGCAUACCACAUAGGCUGUGGAUUCCACUGGCUUAUUUGUAAAGAAUGUGAAGAGUACUGUGGUUCUGACAUUAUAAUUGAGGAUAAAGCCAAAAAAAAAUAGUGUGUUCUGUCUUUGUUAUUGGGAGUCUAUUUUGAAUCAUGGUUGGGUUGCCCAAGCCUGAGAAAUUCUGGAGAUGUGACACACAGGAAUAAUAACACAUGUCCCACGAAUGAAUUAUUUGAGGAUUAAUGAGAUCAUGGAUUUUAAGUUCAGACACAAUUCCUGGAUCAUGGAAGAUACCAGUAACUUGCUUAGUAGGCCAGGAGACUUGUGCUCAUUUAAAAAAGAUACAUGAAAAUUUUUAUUCUUUUUAAAAUAACUUUUACCCAUUUUUAGCUUCCACUACCCUGUUGACUAAUAUUUGACCUUUCUUUUUUAAUGAGGUAUCUUCCUGAAAGAAAAGAGAAAAAGGAAAAAAUAAAGAGUAUGAUUUUUUCA
rnacentral:lncRNA from 12 species